GACGAACGCUGGCGGCGUGCCUAAUACAUGCAAGUCGAGCGGACAGAAGGGAGCUUGCUCCCGGAAGUUAACGGCGGACGGGUGAGUAACACGUGGGCAACCUACCCUGUAGAUCGGGAUAACAUCGAGAAAUCGGUGCUAAUACCGGAUAAUCAUUUGAAGUGCAUGCUUCGAAUGUAAAAGAUGGCUCCGGCUAUCACUACGGGAUGGGCCCGCGGCGCAUUAGCUAGUUGGUAAGGUAAUGGCUUACCAAGGCAACGAUGCGUAGCCGACCUGAGAGGGUGAUCGGCCACACUGGGACUGAGACACGGCCCAGACUCCUACGGGAGGCAGCAGUAGGGAAUCUUCCGCAAUGGACGAAAGUCUGACGGAGCAACGCCGCGUGAGUGAUGAAGGUUUUCGGAUCGUAAAGCUCUGUUGUUAGGGAAGAACAAGUGCCGUUUGAAUAAGGCGGCACCUUGACGGUACCUAACCAGAAAGCCACGGCUAACUACGUGCCAGCAGCCGCCGCGGUAA
rnacentral:rRNA from 1 species